CUGAUGCCCAGGGCAUUGUGCCCGGCUCCACCGUCCACAUCCACAGCAGGAAACGCCCAUCCGAGCUUCACCAGGGUAGAAGCCGGUCUCCUUGCUCAUCUGGAACAAGCCUGGCUUGUUCCCUCUCAGGGCAGUCGCCCCUUUGCAGCUCACCAUUCAGACCGUCCAGGAAGACCUGGAGUUUGCAGCUCCGCUACACUGUCUCCUCCUCAUCCUGUCCAGUUCAAACGUCACCUCUCCAGUGAAGCCUUCCCGGAAACUCCAGAAACCUCCCCAGCCCUCUGCGCAGCUUCCACCUCUCUCAGGGGUCUGGGACAUCCUUGUGAGCCGAGCAAGGCUGAGGAUGCUCUCUUCCGUCACAUACGAUGGAAGCGCCGAUAGGUGCCCGGCGCCGAGGUGGGGGGCUGGCACGCUUCGGACGCCCAGCCACUGACCGCCUCUAGGAGCCGGUGGACGAGGUGCCGGGGCGUUUUCCGCCCGCCCGCCCCCUUGCGGCGCGGCGCUGCAGCCUGAGAAACGCGAGGCCGCGCGAGCGCCCGCCUGACCCCCGCCGCGCCAGGCCCCGCCCUCCCGCGCCCGCCCCAGCGCCGGCCCCUUUUGUUCCCUCCCGGAGCCGGGCCGCUCGCUCCGCUCCCGCUCAGCUCGGCUCGGGCUCCGCCGCAAGGAGCGCAGGCGGCGGCUAGGGCUGCCCCGCUCAGCGCAUACCCGCUUCCCUGCCGCCGCCCAGCCGGCCGCACACGCGGCGCGCUAGGCCCGGACCCGGAGCGCGAACGCGGAACCCCGGCGCCGGGAGGGGCUGCAGGCGGUGGGCAGCGGCGCGCGGGGAGGGGGACCGCAGCAUCCUCUGCCCCCGCCGGUGCCCCGGCGCCGGGAGAGGACGGGGGUCGGGCGCCCCCGCCGCCCGCCGCUCCGCCUGCUGCUGGAGGAGCGAAGGUAGGAACAGCCGGCCGAACCCCGAGGGAGGGGGCUCGCCGGGCAACAAAGGACCGAGGGAUUGCGGGAGGCGGCGGUAGUCCCGGGCCUGGUCCUUAGCCGGGCGGCCGACACGGAGGCAUUGUCGGGGAGUGAGGGGAGGCCGAAGGGGUCGGGGCCCGGCGGGUGGGCGUGAGCGGGAGCUCCUUCUGGGUGCACCCCCGCCCCAACUUCCCCGUCGCCUGCAGGCG
rnacentral:lncRNA from 1 species